rnacentral:tRNA from 1 species
GGAAGUAUGGCGAAAUGGUAGCCGCAAGAGUUUGCUAAACUCUCGUUGAGAAAUCGGCGUGUGGGUUCAAGUCCUACUACUUCCG